GACGCUGGCGGCAGGCCUAACACAUGCAAGUCGAGCGCGAAAGCACUUCGGUGUGAGUAAAGCGGCGGACGGGUGAGUAACGCGUAGGAAUCUACCUAGUAGUGGGGGACAACUCGGGGAAACUCGAGCUAAUACCGCAUACGCCCUACGGGGGAAAGCGGGGGACCUUCGGGCCUCGUGCUAUUAGAUGAGCCUGCGUUGGAUUAGCUAGUUGGUGGGGUAAUGGCCCACCAAGGCGACGAUCCAUAGCUGGUCUGAGAGGAUGAUCAGCCACACCGGGACUGAGACACGGCCCGGACUCCUACGGGAGGCAGCAGUGGGGAAUAUUGCGCAAUGGGCGAAAGCCUGACGCAGCCAUGCCGCGUGUGUGAAGAAGGCCUUCGGGUUGUAAAGCACUUUCAAUUGGGAGGAAAGGUUCACGGCUAAUACCCGUGAGCUGUGACGUUACCUUUAGAAGAAGCACCGGCUAACUCCGUGCCAGCAGCCGCGGUAAUACGGAGGGUGCGAGCGUUAAUCGGAAUUACUGGGCGUAAAGCGCGCGUAGGUGGUCUGUUAAGUCGGAUGUGAAAGCCCCGGGCUCAACCUGGGAACUGCAUCCGAUACUGGCAGACUAGAGUGCGGGAGAGGGAGGUAGAAUCCCACGUGUAGCGGUGAAAUGCGUAGAUAUGUGGAGGAUUACCAGUUGCCGAAGGCCGGCCUCCCUGGCUCUCAACCUGACCCCCUGA
rnacentral:rRNA from 1 species